UGAGUCGACCCCUAAGGCGAGGCCGAAAGGCGUAGUCGAUGGGAAACGGGUUAAUAUUCCCGUACUUGGUGUUACUGCGAAGGGGGGACGGAGAAGGCUAUGUUGGCCGGGCGACGGUUGUCCCGGUUUAAGCGUGUAGGUGUGUGUUCCAGGUAAAUCCGGUUCACUUUAACACUGAGGCGUGACGACGAGGCACUACGGUGCUGAAGCAACAAAUGCCCUGCUUCCAGGAAAAGCCUCUAAGCAUCAGGUAACAUCAAAUCGUACCCCAAACCGACACAGGUGGUCAGGUAGAGAAUACCAAGGCGCUUGAGAGAACUCGGGUGAAGGAACUAGGCAAAAUGGUGCCGUAACUUCGGGAGAAGGCACGCUGACACGUAGGUGAAGUGAUUUACUCAUGGAGCUGAAGUCAGUCGAAGAUACCAGCUGGCUGCAACUGUUUAUUAAAAACACAGCACUGUGCAAACACGAAAGAGGACGUAUACGGUGAGACGCCUGCCCGGUGCCGGAAG
rnacentral:rRNA from 1 species